CAGCACAGCAAAGCAGCAGAGAAGCGCAAAGAUGGCAACACACUUCUGCUGCGUCUGGAAGACAAUGGCAGACAACAAAAAUGCAUGUCGGAGCAGCGAGUUCUGCAGGAAGGGACAGUAAAGUUGCUGAGGAGGCUCACAAUCUGAUGAAGAUGCCUGACAGUUGGCUCACCCGCUCCAGCUUGUCUUUGCGUCGCAGGAAGAUGGAUGCAGAGUAACCCUGCUGCUGGACGGUGCUGUAGCUGCUGCCGCUGCUUUUCAUCUGAGACGGGAAGGCAGACGGAGCUGGGGGAGCCUCAUCCUGCUCCUCAAACCGUGGAUU